rnacentral:sRNA from 1 species
GAUACCAGGGUCAAAAGCCAGGAAUGCCUUAUUCUGCAAGCAGAUAAGACAUUUCGGCUUGGGACCCGCCCGGACAUGAGGAAGAAGCGAUUUACAAAGUAAAUCUGCGGAUUCUGAAUGGCUGAAGGUUUGUGAGAGCUGCGAGGCAGCGGAGCAAGCCGG